GCAGGAUCUGCUUACCCUUCCGGAGCACCUGAGAUCACCCCUAGUUUUUUGUGGGGUUCGUGUUGCUUAUUCUUUAGUUUUCUAUGUUGUGUCAUGUGUACUAUUGUUUGUCUGUUUGUCUUUUUCAUUUUUAGCCAUGGCUUUGUCAGUUUAUUUUCGAUUUAUGAGUUUGAAUGUCCCUCUGGUAUCUUUCGUCCCUCUUCUAAAGGU
rnacentral:lncRNA from 1 species